AUGAAUGAGGAUGGGAGGGGAUAUCUCAGUGGUAAUGUGCAUGCUUAGCAUGCACAAGGUCCUGGGUUUAAUCCCCAGUACCUCCAUUAAGUAAAUAA